rnacentral:rRNA from 1 species
GACGAACGCUGGCGGCGUGCUUAACACAUGCAAGUCGAACGCUGAAGCUCAGCUUUUGUUGGGUGGAUGAGUGGCGAACGGGUGAGUAACACGUGAGUAACCUGCCCCCUUCUUUGGGAUAACGCCCGGAAACGGGUGCUAAUACUGGAUAUUCACUGGUCUUCGCAUGGGGGUUGGUGGAAAGGGUUUUUCUGGUGGGGGAUGGGCUCGCGGCCUAUCAGCUUGUUGGUGGGGUGAUGGCCUACCAAGGCUUUGACGGGUAGCCGGCCUGAGAGGGUGACCGGUCACAUUGGGACUGAGAUACGGCCCAGACUCCUACGGGAGGCAGCAGUGGGGAACAUUGCACAAUGGGCGCAAGCCUGAUGCAGCGACGCCGCGUGAGGGAUGGAGGCCUUCGGGUUGUGAACCUCUUUCGCUCAUGGUCAAGCCGCAACAAUGGUUGUGGUGAGGGUAGUGGGUAAAGAAGCGCCGGCUAACUACGUG